rnacentral:lncRNA from 1 species
AAAAAUGAUUAACAAAAAGUAGGAAUACAAACAAUCUUUAUUGAGCACUUUAUGAAGUGGGCAGUGGCCAUUUGGAGACCUGCAAAAUGGGGCCAAAGGCCAGGAGCCUUCAUAAGUUAAAGAAUGAAGAAGAGAAAAAUGGAAAAUAUCUCAUUGGCUAGAGCCACAAAUCAGCCUCAUUCAGAGUGAGACGGUCCCAGGUUGGCUUGUCAUUUGGAGGUUGGUUGACUGGAAAUAUUCCUGGGUUCCCGAUCGAGCAGGCCAUUUGCAGGUACACAAAAGUUAUCCAAGUUUGUUUGGACAUAGGUUAUAUGUCACCUUGGACAGAACUGGUCCUUCUUGAACCUAGAAACUUAACACUGGCUUACAACAAAGGGGGCAGGAAGAGAGGGAGAAAAUGGGAAUUUAUUUUCCUCCGUUUUGAAAAAACUUAAAAUAGUGCUUCCUGGGCAAGAAUGGGAUUGAGAAUCAUUUCGUCUCAAAAAGAUACUGUGAGAUUUACACACAAAAAUAUGCAUUAUUUUGCCAUUUGUUAUAGUGAUAUUCUGGAAACCACCUAAGACUCUAACCACAGGGAAAGUGAUGUGAAUACAGAAUUUAGGAAUUAUGGGUUAUAAAGCUAGAAAAUCUAAUGACUUACAAGAGCAGUUGAGUGUGUCACCCCAAAAUAUGCCUCUUGAGCAUAAGACUUAUUUUCAGCUGAUUAUUUUGAAGAAACAAUAGAUGUAAGAGAUCUUUUGUCCCUUUUUUAAAGGACAAUUACAUUUACAAAGAAAAUCUCCAUGUGUACAGGUGUCUCCCUCUAAUACCAGAAAAAGAAUGACUGAAUCACAAAAUAAUCUUAUCAGUGGAGGAGGCACCAACUUAAAUGUACACGACAACUACACCUAUUACUGUACUUUUCCUGACAACUUCCUAUAAAUGGCUUCCCCCUCAAAACAUCCUUCUUUUACCUGUAGCUGAAAAUGAUAUUUAAGAUGGUGGCUUGGGUCAUUUGGAGGAGUUUUACUCAGUUUCCUGGGCAUCUCCUAGGUAUACAGGAGGUAUACAUGUUAUUAAACUUCUAUUUGUUUGGGGGUUUUUUUGGUUGUUGUUGUUGUUAAUGUUUGUUAUGGGAGGUGAAGGGUCUCAGCCGCAGAAUCUAGAAAGGUAUAGGGAAGGUUAUUUUCCCUCCCCUACAAUAUCACAGGUGAAGAAAAGUAGAAAGUAAAAUUUAAUGUGCUGUAUGAUUACAUUUUAAAAAACACAAUGCGAGGAAAAAAAACUUAGAAGAAAAACACAUCAAAAUAUUAAUACUAGUUUUGGUGGGGCAGGUGAUAUCUUCGGUGGCUUGGUUUUCUUCUGCUUGUCUUAAUUUUCCAAAAGUUCUUUAAUGAGAAAGGAUGUAUUACAUAAUGGAGUGGAAGAAAUUUUAAAUAAAUGUUCAGUGAGGGUAGAGGUGUGACCCACGGUGAGGAGUUGAGGGGAAAUUCUGAGACCCCCAUUCUGAGACCAUCAGGGGUGGGCGGGGACAUGCAGCGGAGGAAGAUGGAAAGUGCCUCCUCUGGUUGAGAAUGAGGUGAUAAGAACAGAGAAGCCCCUAGAAUGCCAUGAUCAAAGGAAAAGAUUAUUCUGCGUCAGAGUGGGUGGUUUGAGGUUGGGGGAGCUUCAGAGUGAGCAAAGGUUGGGAGGGGAGACUAAUGACUACCAGGGUUUAGAAUGCAUCUGUGCCCCACACCUUCUCCUUUAAGCCAGUUCAAAGGGCGAAAUAAUUAGAAUCAGCUCUCUUCUCCCUCUUUUUAUACUAGUGACAAAAUCAAGCCCAGGAAUAUCAAUUAAUCUGGAGUCUGGACCCUCAGUAAGACCUUUCCCAAAUCCAGGUGCAGAGAAAGCGCUCACUUCAUGAGCUCAACAAGCAGUUAAAGGAAGGAAGGGCAGGAAGCCACCUCUUUGUCAAGAUCUAACAAACGCAGCACCCAAAGCAGUGUGGUUUGGGGCUUAUGAGCUUCCAAUAAAGCUCAUAAAUACAGAAACCCUGGUGGGGGAGAAAGGAAGGUAUCUGUACGAUGAGAGGCAG